rnacentral:rRNA from 1 species
UGAGAGUGCCCCGGGAAAACCUCCCAUUAAAAUCUGGCCUCUUCGGCGUCCGAGUUGUAAUUUAGAGAAGUGUUUUCCGCGCCGGACCGUGUACAAGUCUCCUGGAACGGAGCGUCAUAGAGGGUGAGAAUCCCGUCUUUGACACGGACCCCCGGUGCUCUGUGAUACGCUCUCGAAGAGUCGAGUUGUUUGGGAAUGCAGCUCAAAAUGGGUGGUGAACUCCAUCUAAAGCUAAAUAUUGGCGAGAGACCGAUAGCGAACAAGUACCGUGAGGGAAAGAUGAAAAGCACUUUGGAAAGAGAGUGAAACAGUACGUGAAAUUGUUGAAAGGGAAACGCUUGAAGUCAGUCGCGUCCGUCGGGAUUCAGCCGCAAGGUGUACUUUCCGGUGGACGGGCCAGCAUCACUUUCGAUCAUCGGAAAAGGUCGUUGGGAAUGUGGCACCUCCGGGUGUGUUAUAGCCCUUCGUCGUAUACGGUGACCGGGAGUGAGGACCGCCUUUUUGUAGGAUGCUGGCGUAAUGGCUUUAAACGACCCGUCUUGAAACACGGACCAAGGAGUCUAACAUGCCCGCGAGUGUUCGGGUGGAAAACCCGUGCGCGUAAUGAAAGUGAAAGUUGGGAAGGCUGUCGCGGCCUGCACCGACGCCCGGACUUGAGAUUUAUCGACGGUUCUGCGGUAGAGCGUGUAUGUUGGGACCCGAAAGAUGGUGAACUAUGCCUGAAUAGGGUGAAGCCAGAGGAAACUCUGGUGGAGGCUCGUAGCGAUUCUGACGUGCAAAUCGAUCGUCAAAUUUGGGUAUAGGGGCGAAAGACUAAUCGAACCAUCUAGUAGCUGGUUCCUGCCGAA